rnacentral:rRNA from 1 species
AUUGAACGCUGGCGGCAGGCCUAACACAUGCAAGUCGAACGGUAACAGGAAACAGCUUGCUGUUUCGCUGACGAGUGGCGGACGGGUGAGUAAUGUCUGGGAAACUGCCCGAUGGAGGGGGAUAACUACUGGAAACGGUAGCUAAUACCGCAUAACGUCGCAAGACCAAAGAGGGGGACCUUCGGGCCUCUUGCCAUCGGAUGUGCCCAGAUGGGAUUAGCUAGUAGGUGGGGUAACGGCUCACCUAGGCGACGAUCCCUAGCUGGUCUGGGAGGAUGACCAGCCACACUGGAACUGAGACACGGUCCAGACUCCUACGGGAGGCAGCAGUGGGGAAGAUUGCACAAUGGGCGCAAGCCUGAUGCAGCCAUGCCGCGUGUAUGAAGAAGGCCUUCGGGUUGUAAAGUACUUUCAGCGGGGAGGAAGGGAGUAAAGUUAAUACCUUUGCUCAUUGACGUUACCCGCAGAAGAAGCACCGGCUAACUCCGUGCCAGCCGCCGCAGUAA